rnacentral:rRNA from 1 species
GUCGAACGGCAGCACGGAGGUUGCUCUCUGGGGGAGAGGGGAACGGGUGAGUAAUAUAUCGGAACGCACCCUCUGGUGGGGGAUAUCGUCCCGAAAGUUACGCUAAUACCCCAUACAAUCUAUAGAUGAGAGUGGGGGAUCCCUUCACCUCAUGCUCUUGGAGCGUGCGAUAUCUGAUUUUCUAUAUGGGAGGGUAAAAGCCUACCAAGGCAUCGAUCUCAUCUGGUCUGAGAGGACGACCAGCCACACUGUAACUGAGACACGCGCCCCACUCCUAUACGAGGGGCAGUGGGGAAUUUUGGACAAUGGGCGAAAGCCUGAUCCAGCAAUGCCGCGUGAGUGAAAAAGGCCUUCGGGUUGUAAAGCUCUUUUGUCAGGGAAAAAACGUCGAUGGCUAAUAUCUCUUGCUAAUGACGGUACCUGAAGAAUAAGCACCGGCUAACUACGUGCCAGCAGCCGCGGUAAUACGUAGGGUGCAAGCGUUAAUCUGAAUUACUGUGCGUAUAGCGCGCGCACGCGGGUUUGUAAGUCUGAUGUGAAAUCCCCCCGCUCAACCUGUGAAUUGUAUUGGAGACUGUGAGGCUAUAAUCUGUGAGAGGGGGGUAGAAUUCCACGUGUAUCAGAGAGAUGCGUAUAUAUGUGGAGAAACACCGAUGGGGAGAGCGCCCCCCUGUGUCAAGAUUGUCACUCUCGCGCGAAAGCGCGUGGAGAAACAGGAUUAUAUACACUGUGA